ensembl:lncRNA
CUCGGGCAUGUGCUUGAUGGAUUUUUGUAUAACAUGUGAUAACAUGUGAUCAUUGUCCAUACUUUUAUUUGUCUCCAGCCCUCCUGCUCUGAAAUGAUUACCGCAGGAGUAGCCAAGGAUUUCUUCCUGGCAGAAGUCUCUCACGUUCAGGGCUACUGGAGCUUUGGCUACAGGAGCUGAAUCUACAUGGGUAAACAAAAUGGAGGUAUGAACACUGGAAUCUAUCCAGGAUGCCAAAUUGUUAACACUUCUACCUGUUAAAAAUGCUUAAAUGAUGUAACAUCCAGCAUGUAAGGAAGAAUUGUAAAAGCUGCCUGAGAUCCCAUAUUAUUCACAAGAAGGCAUGCAGAAACUUAGCAGCAGCAAAUAUGUAUCUCAUCUGUUAACAGCUCUUGUGGUUAUGGAGAACUAGGAGGGUUCAUGCUUGAUGCUCUAUAGGGCCAAUAGCACAGCCCCUGCCCUCCUUCCCUUUCUGCCUCUUAUGAACAUCUCAUGCUAAGCCUCACCCCUACUCCCUCUGUGGCCAUGUUACCACAUAAUAAGCAUACACUUGUAGAUGAAAGUAAAUCAGAAAAACAUUUUCUGAAGCUGGAAAGAGUGUCUUUUUCUGACUUAGCUUUGUCCAUAGACCACUCUUUAUUUGCAGAUAAGAGCAAUCAUCCAGGAAGCCAAUCAGUGACGAGCAGCACAGUUUGAAUUCGUACACACACCCUUAAUCCAAAUUCACUUCCGUGAGGAGAUAAGCUUUCAGUAAGUUUACUAAUCAACCUGUAUGCAUGGAGAAGGCAGAACAGGAGGUGUAAUUUUGCUGCUCAGUUUAUUUUCCAUGAAAUAUGUUUAAUUUAAGUCAAAGGUAAAAUGAGAGAAGUUCUCCCAUACUAAUUUCCAUCAGAAACAUUUCUCUUUUAAUGAGCCAGCAUUUGUUGAUAAACACAGACAAAAACUGUAAAAAAAAAAAAAAAAAAAAAGUAAAAAAAAAAACAAAAAACGAACAAACAAAAAACCCUGAACACAUCAGUAUGGGUUGAUGUGCAAUACAUCUGACAAGCUUAGAGGCAAACCAUCCUGCAGCUAUCCUAAAUUUGGCUCUGUAGAGCCCAAUGAUGACACGUAGUUGGUCAUCAAAAGAAACUGAAUUCUUGUUAUGCUAUAAGGAAUCCUUAGUAAGCUCACCAGGAGAAUAUGUGGAGGCAGCUCGAUGUAGCCCAUCCCUUAGGAAGUUUGUGUUGUUCGGGAACUUUUCCAGAUUGUGAAACUGAGGCACAGUUCAAAAAGGAAGAGAUGGGUCUGUCAUCUGCAGUGAAAGUGCUCCGUAAGUCUGGGUCAUUCUCACAGGAAUUACCAUGUUUAUCAGACCUGGUUUGUCUUAUCAGUGCAUUGUUAGCAAUCUGAAUGAACACAGGAAAAUUCUUUUGGAUCAAUACCUUUUUGUGGUACUGUCCCUUUUGUCUUAAAUUGCAUGUGUUUUGAGGGACAGGAAUUUUCCAGCCUCAUGCAGAUCAUCUGCUUCUCCCCAGGUAGCUCCUGUCACUUACACUGACACCACGCACGUACUAAACCAAAUUCUUUCACCUUUGUUGUCAAGCUCACUCAUACAUGAUGAAAAAGACUUACGAUUGGACGUGGGCAGGAAGAAGGUGGACUCCAAUGCUAUAAAAGUUGUUCAAAAGCACUUGUUCAGUUAAAGAAUAUAUAAGUUUUGUCUGGUAGCACUUUGUCCUGGAUUCAGAAAUGCAAUGAUUUCAAACUGUAGUUGCUUCCUUAUAAUUAACCAAGCACAGAAGCUGAGCCCAUGAAAAUUGUACAGUAAACACUACUGCUUACUGGCAUAGUGGAAAGAACAAUGAGAGCGCAGAAUCCUAUGUUAAAGCCUAAGAACAACACAAUAUACUGUAUUUUGGGGGUGAUUCCAUUGUGCUGGUAUAUUUGAUUUAGGGAGAAAUAGAUGUUUUGGUCAACACAGAAACAAAUUCACCCCUGCCAUUAUGUUUGGGCUUUUCAGCUGUCCCAUGUAGUGUGUUUGCUGAAGUCUGCCUCAGCAGUUAGGCAGGAGGUUAGCUAUGCUGCAGCAGACCUGUGAAAAGCAAUUUAAUGAUUUAUUAGAUCUAUUGAAUACAGCUUUUGAAAAGCAAACAUAGCCCAUUGCAAGAACACCAUUAGUGGCACAUAGCAAUUUGCUUCACUAAUGUUCUCCUCUGACACCUCCCAAGGCAUGUCAAAAUAACACUACAGUAGCACUUGGUCACGCAGGCUGUACUCUCCUGAAAAAUAACACCAGGCCAAUCUAGGAUGAAGGAGAUGCAGUCAUCUCAUUUGCAGUGUGAAUACUUGAAGGGAGCCUCUGAUUUCAUGACUGAAUUUCAAACAACAGAUGAACUACAAAAUAGAGAUUGUCUUACAAGCCUCCACAUCUCCUUGUCAGGCCCAGCAAAAAAGGCCAGGUUACUUGAUUUAACUUCAGGCCUUGAGAUCUGCAGUGUUGUGAUGAAAAACAGGUCACAGAUAAGAUAAGCUGACAUUGAGCGACAUUGCUUCAAUUAGAGUAGAAAUUAUAAAGCUAGCAUUGGAAAAACAUGUGGCAGCUGGGUGAGGAGCACUAACACAGCACAAAAGCUGUGCUAAAUGUUCAGUUUGGCAAAGGUCCUGGACGUGCCUUUUGCAGCCAUGGUGUAUGUCAGAUCAUAUAUAGAAGGCAAGAUGAUGAAGUUUAACUUGGCUGAUCAUAUAGAAAUAUGCCAACAGUCAGGAACAUAUUGUUCAAACAGGGAAGAUGGACUUGAAUGUGCCCUAAUAAGCAUCAACAUGGCCCUUCUGACCUAUGUCACUGAAGCUCUUGUCUCUGGGCUACAAGUGAAUUCUGUUAAGAACCUCAAACAAAGCAAACUCUCUAGCCACCGGCUCCCC